rnacentral:SRP_RNA from 1 species
GCCUGUGGUCCCACCUACUUGGGAGGCUGAGGCUAGAGAAUGGCUUGAGUCCAGGAGUUCUGGGUUAUAGUGCACUAUGCCUAUCAGGUGUAGGCACUAAGUUCGACAUCAAUAUGGUGAACUCCUGGGAGCAGGGGACCAGCAGGUUGCCUAAGGACGGGUGAAGCGGCCCAGGUCAGAAACCCUAGCAGGUCAAAACUCCCAUGCUGAUUAGUAGUAGGAUUGCACUUGUGAAUAGCCACUGCACUCCAGCCUGGGCAACACAGCAAGACUCCUUCUCA